GACUCGGUAGCUCAAUCGGUAGAGCAGUGGGACGAAAUCCCUAAGUUGUGAGUUUGAUCCUCACCCGGGUUC